CCGCCCGUGGCUCAGUUGGUUAAAGCGCCUGUCUAGUAAACAGGAGAUCACGAUUUCGAUCGUCGGUGCCUCUGGAAGGA